rnacentral:lncRNA from 1 species
CUCUCUCUCUCUCUGCGUCGCCGGCCACCGCCGAUAUCUCAAUCAACACCAAAAUUUCCAGAUUUUCUCCUCUUUAUUUCCUUUAUCCAUUUCUCAAACCAAAAUCGUGAGAUUUAGCCAUCCAAUCAUUCAAAAACCCUAGAACCUGAAAUCAAUUUGGGGGGGGGGGGGGGGGUUUGUGAUUUCUUCAUUCUAAGUCCAAAUCAAGGUAAUCUCCCUCCUAAUCUAACCUCUAUUCAUCCGAGUUUUUGAUUUCCAUUUGUGAUUUUGGUGCAUGAACUCAAUUUUCCGUUCAACCAUGAGGCUAGGCUACGGGUUUGGCAAAGAUUUGUGGUGAAGAAGGCUAAAGAGGAGGAGAGGCCAUCAGUUUUUGGAGAAGAAAGGGUAAGGAUUGGGUUUUGGACAAACCCUUGAAUUUUUGGAGUUGUUUUGUUGAUUUAAAAUUUUUGUUGAGUUAUUUUGUUCGUGGAAAAUUGUGAAAGGUGGGAUCUUUGAGGAGGAUUUAAUUAGUAGAAUUUAUUAGUUUAGUUUUCAAAGUGUUGGGAAUUUGUGUUGAAGAUUUUGGUGGUUUUUGUUGUGUAACUUUGACC